UACGUAGGGCGCAAGCGUUGUCCGGAAUUAUUGGGCGUAAAGAGCGUGUAGGCGGCCUGAAAGGUCAGCUGUGAAAACUCGAGGCUCAACCUCGAGACGUCGGUUGAAACCAUCUGGCUAGAGUCCGGAAGAGGAGAGUGGAAUUCCCGGUGUAGCGGUGAAAUGCGCAGAUAUCGGGAAGAACACCCGUGGCGAAGGCGGCUCUCUGGGACGGUACUGACGCUGAGACGCGAAAGCGUGGGGAGCGAACAGG
rnacentral:rRNA from 1 species